rnacentral:rRNA from 1 species
CGGCGGACGGGUGAGUAACACGUGAGUAACCUGCCUUAGACAUUGGGAUAGCCUCGGGAAACCGGGAUUAAUACCAAAUGAAAUCACAUAUGCACAUGCAUAAAUGAUCAAAGCUCCGGCGGUCUAAGAUGGACUCGCGUCCCAUUAGCUAGUUGGUGAGGUAACGGCCCACCAAGGCGACGAUGGGUAGCCGGCCUGAGAGGGUGAACGGCCACAUUGGAACUGAGAAACGGUCCAAACUCCUACGGGAGGCAGCAGCC